ensembl:lncRNA
CCGCCAAGUAGUGCCGCCCACGGGCUGUGCUGCCGCCGGGAGCGGUGGCAGCCGAGGGACAGCGGCCCGGCAGCUUCUGCAGCUCCGUCUGCGCCCCCUCGGAGGGGCGAGUGCGGGGACAGGGCUCGGCUCCCACGCGCCGUCGCUGAGCCAACUCCGGGAGGUCCGCAUGUCAGGAGCGACGGCCGUGAGAACACAUAGCGCCGUCGUCAAGGAGCCCGAAUCCCCACGCGGCCCUGGGCGAGCCGCGCCGCCCACCCCACCGCGCCCCCUCAGCGGCCGGCGGCUCUAAACCAGCAUUCCUCCCGGUGGCAAUUCUGAUUCCGUGUUGGAGCUGUUCGGAGAUUUACACCUCCUGCCGCCUUCUUACAGGAACGCUAGACACUCCACCGCGAGCUGUUACCGACAUCCUUAAAUUUCACAAACUGUCUCAGAGCCAACCCGAGUACUCCGAGUACUAGAACACAGUCAGGUAAUAAAACGGAAAGCUCCAGAGUCAGUUACUGGAAAAGACCAUGGAAAGAAAAGAGUCUUAGCCAAUCACACUUGAAGAAAAUAAAUGAUGUUGACUUCCCGUCCAAUCACAACAGGACUUUAUAACCCAGACAAAGACAGCUAGGAAUUCCUCUUCUGAUCGUGCCUCAGUUCUCACAAGCAACUCUCUUUCAAGAGACCAGUGAGAAGUUUGACGACGGGCAUGCUUUACAGGCUUGUAUUUUAAAGAUCUGUGAAAACAUGAAUCUAAAUUCAAUCUGCCAUUUUCCAGGGAUUAUCAUCUCCAAAAAUUCAUCUAAUCCUAUGAAAAUCUCUUCCUACCCUUCCCUCAGUGCUUUCUGAAAACCCUUAUAACAGCACUCUUAAGUUCUUGUAAACCAUUUGAGCUAAACUGUUAAAGCUGCAGACAAGACAGUGGUGGUGGAAGAGAAGGAAACUGCAAGUCUCAGUUGAAUAGAUCAGUCUCAUUUUACUUAUCUAAGGAGAAACAAAAUUGUUGGGCAUAAAGGAGAACUAUGCUGGAGCUGCGUGCUGGCGGCUCAGGAUUUCUUAAUUCCCACCUAAGGUUAAUAAACCCAAUAAAACGAGCCACUGGAAAAAAGUGCACACAUGUAAAGCCUUUUAAAUGGUCUCAUAUUCAAAUACCAAACCAUGAUACCAUAAUACAAGGAAGGCGGUCCUCGUAUUAAUAAGAAGCAUGUAAGUACCGGAAAACCGACAUUUCGGAGAGAAGGCUUUCACAGCCCACAUAUCCAUCCCCACAGCAGUUUUUCUUACUAAUGAUGGGGGCUCACUCUAAACUCAUCCUCUUGCUUUUCUCAAGUGUGGGGGUUACAAGUGUGUGCCACCAGAAGGAGCUUUAAUGUAUUUAAGAAGUAUAGCUCAAACUGUCUCCUACAACCCCAAUACUAGAGCCAACAUUUGGGUUUCGGGCCAAUCUGUGGCUAGGCUACCUUGAGAAACCUGAAAUACAUGUUUUUCCAAAGACCUUAAAAGUUUUUGUAUUUUGUUUUUGAGUUUGUUUGCUGGCAUUUGAUUUUGUUUUUAAAGGAGUAUGUAUAUUGCUUAAUUGUACUAGCAAAUCCUAACUGUGAACAAUAUGGAAUUAAAUGUUUUAACAUCAACUUCCAAACCUUGGUAUAAUGAUUAGUAUGUAUUGUUAAUUUAACAGUCAAGGAUCCUACGGCAGUUCACAGCAGCCGCGCCUGUAGGCUCACCUGUGAGGGAUUAUCUAGAUUAGAUGGCGCUAAUUAGACCCUUCUUACUGCAGGCGGAGGAGCCCACAGACUGGCCACUUAGCUCUGUGCAAAGGGAGUAAGACGAGUAAUCUUCAUCCUCCUCCGAGCCUGAUGUGGGAGCCUGAAGUUCCUGACAUUCUUAC